CUUUUUUAUGGCUGCAUAGUAUUCCAUGGUAUAUACGUACCACUUUUUGAUUAUCCAGUCUACCAUUGAUGGGCACCUGGAUUGAUUCCAUGCUUUGCUAUUGUGAAUAGUGCUUUGAUAAACACAGGAGUGCAGGCAUCUUUUUGGUAGAAUGGGUUCUUUUCCUCUGUUUUCCCCCUAAUCUUGAGAUACUUAUACUUUAGCCCCGAAAGGCAAACUCAAGAGGCAAGGUCUGUAGGUUUACCACACACUGAUUUACCUGCCUAAGAGAAGCAGUGUUCUACCUAGCAUUGUGAUUCUCCUGCCUCAGCCUCCUGAGUAGCUGGGAUUACAGGCAUGCACCACCAUGCCUGGCUAAAUUUUUUUUUGUAUUUUUAGUAGAGGUGGGGCUUCACUGUUGGUCAGGCUGGCCUCGAACUCCUGACCUUGUGCUCCGCAUGCCUCAGCCUCCCAAAGAGCUGGGAUUAAAGGCGUGAGCUACUGCGCCUGGCCUUUAGGUACUAUAUUUGUAUCUGUGCUUUAUACAUAAAGAGUGAGAUUUUGCACAGCUCCUCACCAAG
rnacentral:sRNA from 1 species